rnacentral:lncRNA from 1 species
AGCAGCUGUGAUGAGAAAUUUUAUUUCAGUUCGACAGAGUGAUUUUAGGUCUGUCCAAUCUAAUAAUUAAAACUGUGAGAUUUAUCCAAGUAAUUGAGGUGACUGUGUUAAAAAGAGUGUAACAUUUGAGUAUACAUAUAUAUGUAUCUCAAUAUAUUUUUUUACAUAUCUCGAUAUAUUGUACAUGAGUAUGUUCAAAUAAUAAAGAAAAAGAAUAGAAAAAAUGUCUUUUAAUUUCUCUUUUUUUUUUGCUCUUUAGAGCCACACCCCAAUGCCAGAUCCAAGCCAAGUCUGCAAACUGCACCGCACCUCACAGCAAUGCCAGAUUCUUAACUCACUGUGCAAGGCUAGGGAUUGAACCUGCAUCCUCAUGGAUACUAGUUGGGUUUGCUACUGCUGAGCCAUGAUAGGAAUGCCCAGUCUUUUCUAAAUUUCCAUUUUAAUUGUGUUUUAUGAAAGUAUCAUUCCACAACAGAUCCAUAUUGGACACUUAGAGAUGGCUCCUUCACCUUGACUGAGAAGCAUAUCUCCAGGAAGGUGUCUGCACUAGUUCAUCAGUCACGAUGUAGGUGUGAUUUCCUCUCUCCCCAGGGGCUUCCAGGCCUCUCUCGACCAGGUCCUCUCAAGAGCUCCUGCUACUGCCAAAUCCGGAUUCAACAUGCAAGCACUGGAAAAGCAGAGAAUCAGAAUGGACCCUUCAGGGCAAUCUUGUGCCAUCAGCCAUGAGAUGCUGGGGUUCUUAUACUCUGUAGAGGGGGCCUCUCUUUCUGUGAUUGGCCCCUUAAAGGUGUUGCACUUGGCCUUCUCCGUGAUUCCCCUCUCACAGGAUAGAAGUCCAGGGGCCAGCAGUUCAGGCAGUGGGGCAGCUCCAUGGGUCCUUGGGGGUCUUUGCAGCUCAAUGCAGCACCCUCCUUGGGUGUGCCUCAUGGUUCAGGUUGACUGCUGAGCUCCAGUCAACACAUCUGCAUCCCAGGCAGCAGAUGAAGGAGGGAAGAGAAACUUCCUGGAAGCCUCUCAUGAGGUAAAUAUGGAGGAUACUUUUAAUGAAACUAUUCAUGUCAUAGAACCUGUUGGUUUUCAAGUUCUUUGGCACACCUAGUUUCCAGGUCAGGUCUUUUCCCUGAGGUGAAGGGGCCACUCAGCCACUAGGAAGUAAAACGGGGGUCAAAUUGCUGUUUGUUUCUUCCUACAGUUAGAAUGAAAUGAGAGUUGAAAUGCCCUUCCUUGAUCUGUUUGCAUUGCCUGGGUUUAAAUUUUCUUUAUUCUUAUACUUUGUGCAUGAGGAAUGGAUAAUUUGUAAUCAGAAUUAAAUGGAAUGGUGAGAAAUGCUCUGAAAAAUGAGCCAAAAGAGAAAGCCCAAUCCUGACAGUCAGUAGACUGUCAGCUUUGAUCAAUGAUUCUCCAUCUCUCCAGCCCCUUCCCUCCCACCUUGCUGGCCUAGCACCUACCAGAUCCAGGCACACAUGCAUGCCCCCCCCACCCCCACCCAGGGUUCUUGGAAUCCAAGGAAGGGAAUUCUGACUCCUCUCCCCCCCUCCUGGCCCCUCCCCUCUCAGCCCACCCUGCUUAGGUAUCACGGUCCUGGAAGAAGACAGCUAGAGGUGCUCUCUUGAACCUGGUAGAGUUUUUGAAAGCUGGAGAGGCUGGCCAUGUGGAGAAGUCAGCAUUAUUUUACAAGGCUAGUGUUUCAACUCCUGGCACGGAAACCUCAUCAGGUGAAGACAUGCAAUUCUCUAUCGAUAGCUCUGUAAUUGGAAGAGCCCUGUUACUUGAAGACCUAGCAUUGCCUUUUGCUAACUGUGUGCUCUGCAUCUCAGCUUCCUUAUCUAUAAAACGAAGACUAGGAGCUCCCGUCGUGGCACAGCAGAAACGAAUCCGACUAGGAACCAUGAGGUUGCGCAAUUGA